ACGCUCGACACCUACAGGAGGCAGCAGUCGGGAAUAUUGCGCAAUGGAGGAAACUCUGACGCAGUGACGCCGCGUAUAGGAAGAAGGUUUUCGGAUUGUAAACUAUUGUCGUUAGGGAAGAAAAAGGACAGUACCUAAGGAGGAAGCUCCGGCUAACUACGUGCCAGAAGCCGCGGUAAUCUGAGCGGGCUGGCAAGGC
rnacentral:rRNA from 1 species